AUGGCUGAUCUGAAAAUGUCAAAGGGGACCAAAGGUCAAAAUUUCCAUCAAUUAGGCCCUGGCUUGCUACCUAUCAUGUAAUUGGAUUCUCUAGCCCGUUAAUGCUGGCUACGCUACAGACAUUCAGCACAGCAGUUCCCCUGCAGCCCUGUUCCCCUGCCCCUCUCCUGAACUGCAGUGACUGUACGUGUAAGGAGAAGGAGUAUCUUCAAAGCUGCUUUCCCCCAGGAGAAAGAAGGAAAAGGACUCAGCAACGGGCAGGAGUAUCCACCCCAUCUGGCAUGUUUAUAAAGGUUGGAAGGACAGCCACAGCUCUCAAGUUGCCUGUUGAGACAUGGCAUGUUGAAAACAGGUCGUUGCACAGUGACAUGUGAUGGACAGUAGGAGAGAUGGCCCCAUUCAUCUAUUACCUCUAUUUCCUGCAGCUCUAAAUAAGCAGACCUUUCAGCAUGAGGAGUUCUGGCACCACCAGGAGGGGCUCAGCAGGGCAUUUUACCCGUGGAGGCUGAAACCGAACAGCAAGAGGAGCGUGGUCCUUCCCAUCAUUCAGCUUUCAGAAAGACCAAGACAUUCCAGGAUCAGAUAUGAUUAAAGGCCUGGGCAUUCAGUGUGCUAUGCACCUCAAAGCAUUUGAGGCAAAGAAGGAGGUGACAGGCAUGAGAAAGUCUGGAUGAAGGAGAUAAACCAGCAAGGAAGCCGGUUCCAUUCUUUUAUGAAGAGACAUCCUGAAGUCACUUGUGUAGUCAAACAUUCCUGCAAUGGCAAGUGCUGUGGAUCUGAGGAGACUUGUGGUUUGCAUCCUGAACUGGUCAAAAUGCGGCUGCUCUAUCCUGCAUGGGCAAGGGUAAGGAGUAGCCCUGAGAUACUUUAGAAGAGACAGCACGAUCUGGUGAUGGGAUGCAGAGGUCUGAAGUCUCCCUUUGUCUGUCAAGCAUGUGCUCUUCAGGUUUGGUGGUGGCCUGGAGGAAAGUUGAAGGGGAUGACUCCUACAUAAAGAUCAGUUCUGCCUCUUUGGUCUCUGCAAGUAGGGAGAUUGUGAUUUUAGAGCCUGGGAAGAUUCUUCCUCACUUCUGUGAAGCAGCACCACAUGUUGUCAGUGAAUUCUCUGCCUUGGCAGGGAUGUUGUGGGUGGAUGUCCUGAGACAGAAGUGUCUCUUUUCUAUGGAAUUUCAGGUGCACUGUGAGUUGAUAAACUCAGUUUCAGAUGAGAGUAAAGCAUUCCUACCAGCUUGUUUAAAUCAACAGAAAGGAAACGGUUGAUCUGCAGCCUACAAGAAGAUUCACGGACUAACUUCAGCAUUAUCAGAACAAUUUUAUCUGCAAAUUGCAGACUUGUCUUCUGCUUGUCUUCUGCUGGAGCUGGACCCUGCAGCUACCCUGACAGCAUCUGGACCCAAACUGCCCAAGCAGCAAGUCUCCCAGCUCAGCCAGCACCACAAGCCAGUGUCUGCCCCGCUAUAUCCAGCCCUGAUGGAUUGAAGUUCCCAGUGGCAGACCAGGCCACACAGCAGCUUCCAUGUGUGGGUGCUCCCUGCGAGUCCUUCUCAAUGGCAGUCUGAAUUCAGCUGUUCACAAACACAAAGUUGUGCUAUGGGAAGAUUACUGACGGCCGAUUGACAAGAACUGGGAUAUGGUGACCUGCAUACAAGGACAUUCUGAUAUCUUUGUUCUGGUGAAGCGAGGAGUCUGGAAUUGAACUGCAUGUAUCACACAGCAGGGCACAGGACAGCAUUCAGUCUCGUGCGUUGGUGCUUACCCACUUAGAGAGAGUAUGGAGGUGACACGUCCAUGUUAAGACCAAAAGUGCAAGUCCUGCUCGGAGGCUGGGACUGUUAUGAUUGCUGGACGAGGAUUUUGCUGCGCCAUUCAGCCCUACCCUUGGUGGCCUGCAUUCUGCAGUCUGGUUGGGUGCUAUGUACAGCAUGUCUUUGGUGAAUCACUUGUGACUCUACCCCUGUUGCUGGAUCUCAGGAUGGACGACCUUAGAGACUUUGCAGCCCACCUAAGCCUUCCUAAUUAACACAUUCUCAAGUUCUCUUUGCCUCCCUACUCAUGAUAUUUGUGGUAUUUCAUUGCUACAUCUUGUGGCAGUCAUCAGGGGACACUGCAAUUGGAAGUGGGGCUGUGCAUUGGAGAGGUAUGACAUUAUAAUUCCUCCAAUACACUGAAGUAAUGGACUGGCAUAUGUGGAUACUGGAGUUGAAAGUGACACCUGGCCUUUCAGGCUGUAGUCCCUGUAGAUGGGCCGUGAUGGCACACAUCUGGUUUUACAGUGAGGAAAAUAGCUGAUUGAAUCGAUACGCUCAACACAGCUGACUGGAGUAAAUAAGAAAGGAUUUGAAGGAAGCUUUGUGAUCCCCCAGAUGGACAAACCCACCCUCAGUGCUGCUGCAGUUGCCCAGAAGCCAGUGAAGUGAAUGAAGAAGGAAGAGCGGCCAAUAGAUUUCUUCACAAGGCAAGCUUCCGUGCUCUCUGUCCAUCACAACUUCAGCAAAGCCAGUGGUCCGGAUUCUGCAGAAAAGUGGGACCAUUACCCAACAGAAAAUACUUGGCUCUGGGAAGAGACAUGGAGGAAAUGUCUGACAGAUUUUUGUGACAGAGAGCAGCGCUCCCUUGGUGAGGAAGGAGUGAUGGACAUCCUCACUGUGGCCACUUUUGGUUAAGGAUGAAGCAGUGACUUUGAUGCAGGCAGAGGAGACUGCCACCUUGGGAACAAAACAAGUGACCGUGCAGUGGUUGAUGUCACCGAGGAACCAUUUCGUGCCCUUGAGCUUCAUUUAAGCUCUUCAUAUGAAUAAGAGCAAAAAUGUGUGCUAUGUACUGAAGGAGCAGCAAGUUCAGUCCAGAAAGCCCUGCCCUAAUUGGAAUUAAACUUCUGAUGAAUGGCAUGUAGGUAAGACUUACACGUUGGCCUGCCUGAAUUAUGUCAUGUCCUGAGAAUGAAAGAUACAGCUCUCUUUCUCUCAAUUGGAAAUCAGUUUAUUCUCCCACUGUCUUAUUGGAAGAAUGGGUCUGCUCAUCUUGCUCCCCUCUGCUUUUGCAUGAAGCUAUAUUUGUUCUGACAGCAAGUGUUAUGCUCCAAAGGUCAACCCUUAAAACAGCCAGCUACAUCUUGGAUGACACAACCUCAUCCUAAAAGCUAUGAGGAGCCCUUGGCAAUUGCAGCCAGAAUCUAAAGGGCAGUCUGUGGUCAGAAACAAAACCUUUUUUUGCUAAUACAAGCUACAGUCAAUUCUACCAGCUGUUUCCAGACUUUAGCAAGUGUUUCCUACUCAAAUGGAGAGAAUGGUUGAUGGGAACUGGACUAGAUACAGCCAUUCUAUCGAAUGGUCCAAUGUUACAACCACAGCAAAGUUGGAAAAGAUGCUGGAUGUCUCCAAUGCAGUAUGUACCAAAGUGCCAGAUGUUUGGGAUCCCUUAAGUCAUCUAACAGGCCUUCUCAAGGCAAUGUUACUCUUGAGUAUCUUGGUUCUCCUGUAAAAGCAUUAAAGUGAGCUAAUUUUAACUUUGAAUUAUGAGAUUUUCUCCAACAGAAGGUGUCCCUGAGGACACCAGGGUAGAUUUGAUUUCCAAAACGUUGCCUUUGUAUAUUUUAAACGGAGCAUCUGGAUGAAGUUCUAAUGGCCAGUUCAGACUGUCUGAUUUAUAGCAACAGCUGUUCACCUUUGUAGAUGGGGAGAUUCACAGAGAUACAGAACACAUUUAUGAACUUGAUAUUCUGUGCCAAAGGUCAGGGUUUUUUGCCUCAGUUUUGUGCAGGUGUAAAUCUAGAUAGGCUCCUGUGAAGUCAGUGAAAUUGCUCCAUGAAAGGCAUGGAAAUUGGAGUUACAGGAAAUAGCAGAUCAGUUAUUUCUUUCUCAAGUAGACUGAAUUUUAGAACCCACAGCAAAUGGAAAGUGGUUAGGGUUGAAAAAUACACUGGAGUAGUGAUAGGGUGUACCUCUGAGUGAUGGGGAAAAUGUUAAUUCCUUCAAGGGGAGCGACCUCUUCACAUGGCUUUCAGAUGGCAACCAGAAAGCCCAGCAUUAGGAAGCAGAAAAAAUGAAAGAAUAAUAACAGGGAAGGUAUCCUGGAUGUCCUGUUGUACCUUUGUAAUAUUUUAAUUCCCAUUUCAAAAGGUAAAGCUUCUACUGUGUGAAACUUCAUGCAAGUAUUUCUUUAGUAGUUGAUGAUUCCAAAUUUAAAAGGGGCUGGGGGAGAACACCUGCUUUUAGACAAGUGUAUCAGCACUCUUUUCAUCUUUGUAGCUUUUUAUUAUUAUUUUUUUCCUUUUCCCCAAUAAAAAAACAAUGCUUCAGAUUUCUCCAUGACACUUUUUUGUUUGAGUUGAGCAGAUACUUUCUGCUUUCAAAAUAAUAAAUGUUUUGACAAGAAAAAAAGAAGUUAAGUGCCUCCAGAUCCUACACAAGAUCCAACCUAAACUUAUCUUUGGGGGCUUGGUUAUGCUUUCCUAAGACAAAGUGUUUCUGGAGCAUUAGAAGCCAAGUGAAGAAUCAAGGCCAUAUAACUUUAUUAUUACCAAAUCUGCUGUGUUUCACACAUUCACACUCUCUUCUCUUUCAGCUACUCAAUCCACCUCUAUGUUUUCCAUAAAAUACUCUCAAAGCUGAGCUGCUGGUGCCAGCUCUGAUCUAAAAAGCUGUGACGAUUGAGAGUCCUGCAUAUCCAUAUCCC